rnacentral:rRNA from 1 species
AUUGAACGCUGGCGGCAGGCCUAACACAUGCAAGUCGAACGAGUGGCGAACGGGUGAGUAAUGUCUGGGAAACUGCCUGAUGGCGGGGGAUAACUACUGUAAACGGUAGCUAAUACCGCAUACCAUCAGAUGUGCCCAUAUGGGAUUAGCUAGUUGGUGGUGUAACGGCUCACCACGGCGACGAUCCCUAGCUGGUAUGAGUGGAUGACCAGCCACACUGGAACUGAGCCACGGUCCAGACUCCUCCGGUAGGCAGCAGUGGGUAAUAUUGCACAAUGGGCGAAAGCCUGAUGCAGCCAUGCCGCGUGUAUGAAGAAGGCCUUCGGGUUGUAAAGUACUUUCAUCGGGGAGGCGUUACCCGCAGAAGAAGCACCGGCUAACUCCGUGCCAGCAGCCGCGGUAAUAC